UCGUGCUAGGCGGGGAGUUAGCGGUGCCCUGUACCCGUAAUCCGCUUUAGCGGGGUUGAAUGCCCGUCCGAGAUUGACGUCUGAAGGGACUGUGAGCGCCAGGCGGCGUUGAGAGCCUGGUCCUGUGCGGCAACGCCCGGCCAACCCCGCCAGGGCCGGAAGGCAGCAACGGUACGUCGGACGCGUUGGGUGCCACAGGGUCGCCGGGUUUGAGCAGGCCAGCGGGAGCAAGCCGGCAGCGUCGAACGAUGGCGGGGCACGA
rnacentral:SRP_RNA from 1 species